rnacentral:lncRNA from 1 species
CUUUCCGUCUUUAUGUGAAAGUGGAUUGCAUUUACGAAGCAAUAUCAUUUUAAUUUCUUUCACGUGAGAGAAUAUCAUUUUUUCCCAAUAAGCCGAACCAUUUUAACCUUCGUUUUACGAUUACAUGGGAUCAAUAAUGGUUGGAACUAUUUCCAAGUGGCUUGCACUUGUGUCCUAUGCUGAGCUUGCAUACAUAAUAAGGCCACUAUCAGUAGUGCCCCGCGAUGCGUGGGCAUACUAAUUGUUUUCUUAUUAUCUGCACUUAUGGUAAUCAUAAAGCAAUUACUAGCAGUUAUUGUGUGGAGGGGUAUUUUUGCAUAAAAAAGUGUGAGCAACUCAAAUUUGGGUAUCCCAGGGUUUGGUAUUGCCUGUUUAUAAUAGAAUAAAUUGAAUGCGUGAUCAAUUUUGAAGUUACAGGACUUGUUUUGUCGCUUUCUGUUUGCUGGAUAGCUGCACAUACUAAAUUCAGUUUGAAUGCAUCCUCGGUCUUGUGCUGUUUUUUUUUUUUUUUUUUCUCUGUUUACGUUGGGUAACUGAUCCUGUUUAUUUGUUUAUGAUGUUUGGAAAGCAUCCUACCGCUUUCAUCAGUAACCAGAUGACAUGAUAUUGCUGUAGGUUUGACUAGGAGGUUAGUGCAUUUAUUGUAUGGGGUAUUUUUAAACCAUUGCUUUUUCGGCUUAUAUAUAUUCUUUUGGGAUAAAAGUUUCGUUGUUUUUCUUCUUGGCAGGAUGAUUUUUUGGAGAAUAAUAUAUGUUUUGCAAUGUUUGUUAGAUUUAUGGAGCUUUUGCCGCACCAACCAUGCUGGUGGUUUUGAUAGUGUAUAACCUUUAAUAUAAUGAUUCGCUGACUGAACCCUCGCACUCUCGAGCACAAUGUUGGCACCGCCAACUGGGUUAUUAAUGCCGAAAGAACUCGGGAAGGGGUUGAGUGAUGGAAUUAUUUUUUUCGAAUCAAACUAUUUUUUUUUUUCAGCUUGUUGUGAACCCAAUAGAGGCAUCAAGCCCGGAUCUGCUUUUAUUUCUUGGCUAUAAAUCAUUUUAGACUUUCCCAUGCAUGCUGGAUAGUGCAUGUGUGUAAAUUUCGAACUUGUUACAAUGUAAGGUUUACUAGCAAUAUCCUUCCGUUUGGUAUUACCAUUUUUAAAGUUGUCAUCCAAAAGAAUUUUUUUGGAUGACUCGGUACCAGUCGCAAGGACCGGGUUUAUCCGGGGGAUCAAUCCCACCAAUCCCCCCAUUUUUUUGUGUGUGUUCAAUCCUACUAUCUUAGCAGGGGCCCGAUUUAGAGCUGGGAUCCUAAAGAAUUGUUGCUUAUAACAGACCAGAACUGUCAUUAGACUUUCAUUUUUUCGCAUUGUAAUUACAUGUGUUUGAUUUGUUAGAUGUUAUUUGAAAAGUUGCUUCUAAUUAUUGUGUGCCAUUUCUUUAUCACACUGGGAAAACAAAGAAGCAAGAAACGUACUACGCACAUUUCCUGUCAUUUUGUGUCUUAAUGACAUAACCACCUUGGUUGUUAUGUUCGGACAACAAGCAAGUUUUGUGCUUUAUCAAUCAAAAUAUGUUUGUUGUUAUAAUCUAUUUUUAAGCAUGUUCUUUAAGUUAAUUGAUAGACAAGACGCAAUUAGUCCUAUAUUUUUCCUGCUUCCAUGCCAUGUUUUGCUUGGAAUAACCGUGCUAUAGUGAACGCAUCCACACGCACACAAUAUCGUUCAGUACUUUGGGAUCUAAUUGUGGUUACCUGAUAUCUCAGACUUGCAUAUAAACACAUAUAUCCAUCACAAUGUUUAUCUUUGCGCGUUAUGUUCUUACCGAAAGUCCAUGAUAUCAUUUACUAAUACAUAUGCUUAGAAUUAAACAUAUACGUCGUGUCUUGAUUAAUCAACAUACCUGGUCAUGCCUAUUUGUUUUUUUCCCCAUUAUACAUCUAUCUAAAUGUGUUCCGCUAGGCGAAUGCAUUGGUGAGGCUUGAAGAGAAGUCCGAUCAUUAUUGAAAGCUUUGGUCCAAUUGUCCCGAAUUUCAGAAAAGAGUGAAGAAGCUACUAGAGAAGGUAACUUCAGGCCCAUUUGAACUUUAUUCAUAUUAGCUAAAUCUUUUUUUUGCCCCUUUUUUGCCCUUUUUAACGUGGAUUUCUUUCGGCAACGUUCCAUUGUAAUUCGACGACUUGCAGGAGGGAAGAUAUCAGGACCUUCUCUUGGAACAUGGAGUAUUCCUCCAGUAAUUGAAGAUGAGGAUUUCUAUAGAUCUCAAAUUUUGAAUUCCAAGUGAUAAGUUGGACCUGCAGGCUCACAGAUAAUCAACUGAAGGUAAUGCAAAACCUCAUCAAUUUUUGCAACCUAUUGGAUUGAAUAUGAGAUGGUUACUGUUUAUUAAACAGACAAUUAAUUAGGUGAUGCUUGUUAACCCAUUAAUUUCUGUUUUUCUGUUUAAUUUUUUUCACAAAAAUAAAAACUUGUUUGUGUUAUUUAUAAUUGUAAAUAAAGCAAAAUUAUUACCACUAUUUUUGAAAAUAAUGAUAACAAAAAAAAAAUCUAUUAUUUUUUUUACAAAAUCACCGCCUCUACAUCCCUCUCACCCAACCCUUCACCGCUGCCACCGCCUCCGCCACCGCCCCGCCACCACGCCGCUGACUAUACACCAACUUGCCUUGGUGCCUAUGGCUGAGCUUGCUAUAUAACUUAGGCGAUAACAGUUUGAGUACCUAGACCCUCACCUUCACCAACCUUUCUAUGUCGGAGUAUUUUCCCUCUCCUCUCUCCCUUUCUAAUAAACACAAUGGUCUAACUCCUCUAUAUUCUUCUCUCAGUUUUGCAAAGUUGAUAGAUGCCCAUUCACUGUCUGCUCAUCUUCUUUUCGCCAAACCCAUCAAGUACUUGCACCUAUUUGAUGAAGCAGCUAUCAAGGCGGCUCAGGUAUUACAACUGUCUACAAAUUCUGCCUCCAUGUAUUGUAUAUACGAUGUAUGUAUACAUAUACGUUUAAUUUCUCAAGUCAAUUAGGUACUAUUAGGCAACGCGUUAUGUUGUACUUUGCUUAUUUUCAAUUAUGAUGAUUUGAAUUUUUGAGUUAUAAGUAGUGACCGUUUUGUAUCUCUCAAAUACAUAUCUUCACGCCUUUAAAUCUUGAAGUACGUAACAAACAUUUGAAAUCUUGUAUAUUUAUCUUGGCAAUAAUUAACUUGAGUUUGAAAUUUUUCGGGUUCAAUUUCAAACUCAAGUUAAUUAGGUUAUGAUAGACAACGCCUUAUGUUGUAUUUUCUCUAUUUCGUAUUAUGGCUGAUUUGAAUAUUUUGUAAUAAGUAGUGACGUUAUGCAUUUUUUUUGUUUUGGCGAAGACCUAAUUCCAUUGACUAUCGGGCUAAACUUCAACCACAAAUUAUUUAGGUAUUAUUUGACAAUGCUUUAUGUUGAACUUUGUUUAUUUCAAGUUAUGCUGAUUUGAAUUUUUGAGUAAUGAGUAGUGACUGUUUUGCAUUUAUUGUGUUGUGCGAGAACUGAUGCUAUUACCAAGUACUCUCAAAUACAUAUCUCCACGCCUUUAAAUAUUGAGGUACGUAACAAACAUUUGAAAUUGUAUAUUUAUUUUGUACAAUAAUUAACUUGAGCUUGAAAUUUUCCGGGUUUAAUUU